rnacentral:rRNA from 1 species
AACGUACGCUGGCGGCACGCCUAACACAUGCAAGUCGAACGAAGUAGCAAUACUUAGUGGCAGACGGGUGAGUAACAUGUGGGUAUCUGCCCUUUGGCCUGGAAUAACACGAGGAAACUUGUGCUAAUACCGGAUAAGUCUUUACGGAGAAAGCUUUAUGCACCAUUGGAUGAGCCCGCACUUGAUUAGUUUGUUGGUGGGGUAAUGGCCUACCAAGACUGUGAUCAAUAGCUGAUUUGAGAGGAUGAUCAGCCACAUUGGGACUGAGACACGGCCCAAACUCCUACGGGAGGCAGCAGUGGGGAAUCUUGCAUAAUGGAGGAAACUCUGAUGCAGCGAUGCCGCGUGAGUGAAGAAGGCCCUUGGGUUGUAAAGCUCUUUCGUCGGGGAAGAAAAUGACUGUACCCGAAUAAGAAGGUCCGGCUAACUUCGUGCCAGCAGCCGCGGUAAUACGAAGGGACCUAGCGUAGUUCGGAAUUACUGGGCUUAAAGAGUUCGUAGGUGGUUGAAAAAGUUAGUGGUGAAAUCCCAGAGCUUAACUCUGGAACUGCCAUUAAAACUUUUCAGCUAGAGUAUGAUAGAGGAAAGCAGAAUUUCUAGUGUAGAGGUGAAAUUCGUAGAUAUUAGAAAGAAUACCAAUUGCGAAGGCAGCUUUCUGGAUCAUUACUGACACUGAGGAACGAAAGCAUGGGUAGCGAAGAGGAUUAGAUACCCUCGUAGUCCAUGCCGUAAACGAUGUGUGUUAGACGUUGGAAAUUUAUUUUCAGUGUCGCAGCGAAAGCGAUAAACACACCGCCUGGGGAGUACGACCGCAAGGUUAAAACUCAAAUGAAUUGACGGGGACCCGCACAAGUAGUGGAGCAUGUGGUUUAAUUCGAAGAUACGCGCAGAACCUUACCAACACUUGACAUGUUCGUCGUGACUUUAAGAGAUUAGAGUUUUCGGUUCGGCCGGACGAAACACAGGUGCUGCAUGGCUGUCGUCAGCUCGUGUCGUGAGAUGUUGGGUUAAGUCCCGCAACGAGCGCAACCCUCACUUUUAGUUGCCAUCAUUAAGUUGGGCACUCUGAAAGAACUGCCAGUGAUAAGCUGGAGGAAGGUGGGGAUGACGUCAAGUCCUCAUGGCCCUUACGUGUUGGGCUACACACGUGCUACAAUGGUAUCUACAACAGGAAGCAAGACUGCGAGGUCAAGCAAAUCCUUAAAAGAUACCUCAGUUCGGAUUGCACUCUGCAACUCGAGUGCAUGAAGCUGGAAUUACUAGUAAUCGUGGAUCAGCGUGCCACGGUGAAUGCGUUCCCGGGUCU